UAGUGGUUCUCGCAAUAAAUCAAAGAAUUACCGGCGUUUUAAAAAAAAAAAAGCCACAAAAGGCUAUUAUUUUUUUAUAAAAAAAGGCAAAAUCCCGCUCAUUGUUUUUGGUUACCCGCUCGUUAACCAAAUCCCCCAAAUUAUUUCUUUUUCACCAAAUAAAAGAGAAGAGGGGGGAGGAGGAAGAAGAAGAGACUGGAGAUGAAGGGACUAAAAAGGUCAAAGGUAGUAGUAGAAAGGGGAGUUCUAGGAAAUCUGGUCGAGAUUCGGCUGAGAAGAAAGAGCCAGUGACAAAGCUUUGUUUUGAAUCGAAUUAGGGAAAGUGACAAAGCUUAAAGGUAUGUGGGUGGUGUCCAAAAAGAACUAUACUGGGAGACGAAAGAAUCACGGAUCUUAACGACUGGCUUUUGGACACCCAUAAGCCUUUCAAUGCUUUAUCAUCCGAAGGUGUUCUGUAUGUUGAAUUUGGCUUGGUAGUACCCAAACACGGCUGGAAAUCCAAGCUGAUGCUGCUUGUGUGGAUCUUAAAUCUCGAUCUCCAUAUUUUUAUGAGUUUGGAUGCAAGAUAGCACCACUGGUUGGUGAUAAAGCCAUUGAAAUCUUGCUCUUAUCGGCAUUCAAGAUCAGAUAUAAGGAGAUCUUAAUCAAGGCAUAUACUGCAGCAUACACAAUGGCUUCCAAAUUCUUGACCCUUCUAACAAAAGAAGAAUCAAAUUGAGGACUUCUUGUGCUUUGUCCUGCCCAUUCUUCAGUCAAGUUUCCAAGUGAGAAGUCCAGAAAGGCCCAUUCUGCAGCCAAGUUCCCAAAUGAGAAGCCUGGAAACUGUCUAUCUGCUGAAGAUAAGGUGCCAACUGAAAGUUUCUUCUGGUCAAGUUUGAAAAAAUGAUUAGUGUAACUGUAUCCAAGUUUUGGAGGCUGGAUGUCACUCAUGUGAUUGCCUCUACAGAUGAGAAUGGUGCAUGCACUAGGACACUUAAAGUUCUCAUGGCCAUUUCAAACGGGAAGUGGGUUCUUAAAUUAAAUUGUAAAUAAACCAUCACUUAUAUUCAUUGAUGAAAUUGAUGCUUUAGCAACUAGGUAUGGUAGGUAUGGUAAUCUUGUUGCUACUACUAUCUGUUCUUUUUUUAAUACAAGAAUUUGUUGAUACCACACCAUUUGUUUCAAUAUAUGUUAGAGCAUAUAUGAACACCAGCUGAGUCUUCUAGUAGAAAAUUGGAGCAUAUAUAUGUAGAUGUAUAUGUGUAUACACACAUAUAUAACGUAUAAUAUGAACAAUAUUAGAAAAACUUAGGAGCUGAAAUGUUCACUUUGGAAAAUGAUUCUGGUGUUUCUUGCCUCAAAGGGGUUCAUCAACUGCUCAAUGGUAAUGAGAAAGACGUUGGAUUGGAAAAACUUAACUCAGUCUAUUGUUGGUGGCUGUCUUGAAUUUUUUUUUCCUAUUUAUACUCUAUUAUAUUUCUCAUGAUAAUACUGAAUUUACUGAACGUGGAACUUCCUUGAGUUGUUGCUCCUCGUGCUUUUUGUAAACGUUUUCAAUCUAGGUUGCUGUUAAGAAAAUGAAAAGAAAGUUCUACUUUUGGGAAGAGUGUAUGAAUCUAAGAGAAGUUAAGGCCCUUCGUAAACUAAAUCACCCUAAUAUUGUAAAGUUAAAGGAGGUUGUCAGGGAAAGCAAUGAACUAUUCUUCAUUUUCGAGUACAUGGUCAGAGCAUUAUGCGACAAGGCAUAAAAUAUGCAUCUCAAAGACUAGAUACAUUUGCAUGUGUUCGGUAUAGAAAAAGGCAAAAUGGUUGAACAAGCAAUUGAGCAAAUUAUGGCCUUUUGUUGCAGAGGUGCAUACUUUGCCUUUCUGUUCCAGUGUUUUGGAUUCUCUUGCGGUUGAAUUGAAAGCAUCAAAGCACUUCUUUAAGUUAUAUGCUGGCAUUGCAAUACUUUGGCUUCAUCUAAGCUUGAGCCAGCCUUCUUUUGUAUAUUGUUUUUUCUUCUUUUUCCUUUGAUUAAUGAGAGGUGACGAUGAAUUGGUAGUCUUUUCUCAUGAGGAUGCAUUUUGUUUUAGAAAUUGUAAUACUUUUUGUGUCUGUGUGUGUUACUUUUUAUGUAUUAAAUUACAUAUUGAAUCAAUGUUUAUGUAUUAAAUUUAAAUUCAUUAAUUUUUAUAA